AACCUGAGGGGAAGAGGAAUCUGAGCGGAGACCAUAAACACUCUGAAAAAAUCCCCCAGAAUCACAGGCUUCACAGGUGACUCCAGAAGCCCAUUUGCAGCUCUCGAGACAGACUCAAAAGGCCUGGAACCCUUGAGAGACCAGUGAGUCCAGGUGGCUGACUGGAGCAGGUGGGCCAAUAAUAGCGGGCAAAGCCGGAGGAGCCAAAGCACCAGUUCCCACAGGCGGUCAGUCAGCGAGCUCCUCACCUCGCCGGCCACAGGAUGGUCCCAGGUAAGCCCCCUCCUCUCCCAGAAGACAAGCCCCCAUCUCUCUGAACACAGCCUGCAUCUCCUUGCAGG